AACAGACACAAAUGGACAAGGAGAUCAUUUAAUGUUACUAAAAGUAAAUCUUUUGAAAGGAUUAGUGGCGAUGCCCUUUUGUAGAGUUCUCUGGGUUAUGGAGAUGGCUCCCAUUUCCUAGAAAAGCUUUAAAGCUUCUUGACAACAGGGACCCGUCUGGACUCCCCAGACACAAUUCACUCUGGAGCCCGACCGUCUACAGAUCCUCCUAUGCCAACUGUACAUGAACAACCCAACCUCGAGUUGAUGUACACCAAAACAGAAUACCCUCUAAGAGUCUGAGGGAACAGCUGCCUGCUUCCCAGUGCCGCUCACCUGAGGGACUGGCUCUCCAUGUCUCCAAAAAGCAUUGCUCAAGAUCUUAAGGACACUACUGACUAUACUUCAAUUAUUUAUAUAGGAAAAACUAGGAAAAAACUCUUUGCCACACGUCAUAAACAAAGGGUUAGUUUUCUUUUUUCUUUUCUUUUUUGUUUUGUUUUGUUUUGGUUUUGGUUUUUUUGUUUUUCAGACAGGUUUCACUGUGUUAUAGCUCUGGCUGUCCUGGAACUCACUCUGUAGACCAGGCUAGUCUCGAACUCAUAGAGCGCUACCUGCCUCUGUUUCCCAAGAGCUGGGAUUAAAAGCAUGUGCCACCACCAACACCUGGCUAAAGGUUAGUUUUCUUAAUGGAUGAUAUGAAUGAAAAAUGGGCUAAGAAUUUGAAUAGGCAGUUGAGAGAAAAAAAGAACAUAUGAAAUGAUGCUUACAUUGAUGACCUACAACAAGAUACUUCCCAGUACCUGGUGAGAAAGAUUAAAAAAUCACAAAUGUGAGGCCGGAGAGAUGGCUCAGCAGUUAGAGCAUAUAGUGCUUUUGCAGAGGACCUGAGAAUUCUGUUGCCAGUGCCAAUAUCAGGUGGCUCAAAACUGCCUAUAACUCCUGCUCCAUAGAGAGCCAGUGCUUUUACCCUCCACAGGCACCUGCAUUCAUGUGCACAUGCACACAUACACAGAUAUAUGCACAUAUACAUAACUAAAACUCACUGACCUAACAACCUCUUCCGGCCUCCAUGGGCACUGGCAUGUACAUGUGCCUACUAACAAUGCAGACAUACACAAACACAUGAAAAUAUAAAUAAAUCUUUGUUUUUAAAAUCACAAUGGUAGAGGCUAGAGGGAUGGCUCAGCAUUUGGGAGUACUGGCUGCUCUUCCAGAGGACCCAGCACCCAUAUGGCAGCUCAUGGCUGUCUGUGGCUCCAGUUCCAGGGGAUCUGACACCCUCACAGAUAUAUAUGCAGGCAAAACACCAAUGCAAUGAAAUGAAAAUAAAUAAAGCAUUUUAAAAAAAAAUCACAAUGGGCCAGGUGGUAGUGGCACACGCCUUUAAUCCCAUCAGGCAGAUCUCUGUGAGUUCGAGUUCCAGGACAGGCUACAAAGCUACAGAGAAACCCUGUCUCGAAAAAAAAAAAAAAAAGCUGGGGGGGGGGGGGGCGCGUGGCAGCAGUUAAGAGCACUGUCAGCUCUUCCAGAGAUCUGAGUUCAAUUCCCAGCAACCACAUGGUGGCUCACAACCAUCUAUAAUGGGAUCUGAUGCCCUUUUCUGGCAUGCAGGUGCACAUGCAGAGAGAGCACCAUAAACAUAAAACUAACUAAAUUAAUUAAUUAAUUAAAUUAAAACAAAUCCCAAUGGUGGUUAACAUGGCGUUGAAAAGGAGACACAGAAAUAGAUAUUCUGCCAGUGAUGGUGACACGUGCCUGUAAUCCUAGCACUUGGGAGGUGGAAUCCUGGCAUCUAGACAGAAGGAUCAGAGAUUCAACAUCACCCCAAACUAGCUCAAGGCCAGCUGGGGCUGCAUGAGAUCAUGUCUCAAAAAAAAAAAAUCAUAACCAUGAGGGGCUAGCUGGAGAAAUGGGUUGACAGUUAAGAGCACUUCUUGCUCUUUCAGAGGACUGAAGUUUGGGUUUCAGCACCCAUGGGCAGCUCAUAACCACCUGAAAGUCCGGCUCCAGGGCAUCUGAGAAAUUCUUCUAGCCUCCACAGGCACUGGCAUGCCCAUGUGCCUACUAAUAAUGGAGACACACAUACAUACACAUAAAGAAACAUAAAAUAAAGAGUGCUUGCAAAUACUAAGCAGCACUAACCAUCUCCAAGUUUCCAAAGUGAAAAACACAAGAUGUAAAACAUGGGUUGUAGGUAUGGCACAUGGUGGAGCCCAUGUGGGCAUGUUAGUACACACUAGGCCCUGGAUUCAACCAGCAUGACAAAGAUGGGGGGUUAACUGUUUACUAGAAAUUUUUGAAAAUAUAUAUCCUUGUAUGUUUUCCAUGCAUAUUAAUUGUUCAAGAGGGUCUAAAAACAGUUGUCCUCAAAGAGCAGGAACUUGGUGGCUGAAGAGUAGGGGGUUAUUGAGCUGAAGAGACGGCUCAGGGGCUGAGAGAGCUUGAGCUUGCUGCCCAAUCAUGAGGGCAGAAUUCAUAUCCUAGCACACACACUGGACACCUUACAGUGUCCUAUAACUCCCACUCUAAGGGAUCCAAUGUUUCUCUCUGUGGGCUUCUGCAUAUGUGCACAGUCAUGUAGACACAUAAAUGCAGAUACACACAAACUCACACAUACAUUAAAAAAUAAAUUUUACAUUUUUUUUUUGAGCUGGGUAGUGUUGGUACACACCUUUGAUCCCAGCACUUGAGAGGCAGAGGCAGGUGGAUCCCUGAGAGUUUGAGAUCAGCCUGGUCUACAGAGGGAGUUCCAGGACAGCCAAGACUACACAGAGAAACCCUGUCUUGAAAAACAAAACAAAACAAAGUUUUAAACAUUUAUUUAUUUCUAUCUUAUGUGCAUUGGUGUUUUGCCUGCGUGUAUGUCUGUGUGAGGAUGUCAGAUCCUGAGGGUGUCAGACUUACAGACAUUUGUGAGUUGCCACGUGGGUGCUGGGAAUAAAUUGAACCUUGGUCCUCUGGAAAGCAGUCAGUGCUCUUAACUGCUGAGCCAUCUCUCCAGUCCCAUACAUUUUUUUUUAAAAAAAUGUAAAGAUUUAUCUAUUGUAUUUCACAUAUAUGAGUGUUUCGACUGCAUAUAUAUAUAUACACACCUAGUGUGUGCCUGGUUCCAUGAAGGUAAGAAGAGGGCAUCAGACCCUGGGGACUGGAGUUAUAGAUGGCUGUGAAUCAGUAUGUGGGUGCCAGGAAUUGAAUCCAGCUUCUCUGAAAGAGUAACAAGUGCUCUUAACCUCUGAGCUCUCUCCAAGCCCCUGAAAAUGUUUUAUUGUUUUAUUUUAAUUAUGUGUAUGUGUUUGUUGGUACUCAUGGGACUCAAACUCAGGUCCUCUGCAAAAGCAGUACAGGCUCUUAACCACUGAGUUAAUUCCAGCCUCGAUCUAAAAAUGUUUUAAACAGUGGUGGCUGCGACUUCUUAUUAGUAUACAUUUCACAUUUCUCCCAUACUUCCUCACGGGCCACUGAUUGCCAUCUACCACGAGCUUCCUAAGGUUUUUGUUUGUUUGUUUUAAUUGGAGCUACAUGUGCACAUAGAGGACUUCCUGGAAAAUAGCUCCAAGCUUCUUACCCACAGCCUGGCACAUCAGAACCACCAGGCUCAGCAAGACCCUCGACACCUUACCUGACCUCAUCUAUCACCACAAGUCACCCAGUGAUACCCAGAUCCUUCUCAUCUAUGCACCCACCCACUGGAUCCCAUGUGCCCUGCCUGUCAUCAUUGAAAUCUGCCACAUGGAACCCGGUAUAGUCGUGCAUGCCGUUAGUCCCAGCACUUGGGAGGCAGAGGCAGGCAUGAGGCCAGCCUGGUUUACAGGGAGUUCCAGGACAGCCAUAGCUACAUUGUGAGGCUCUUGUUUUUUGUUUUGUUUUAUUAUUUUUUUAAAUUUAUUUAUUUAUCUUUAUUUCACAUACAUUGGUGUUUUAGCCAUGGGUGAUAGGUCCCAGGAAUUGGAGUUACAGACAGUUGUGAGCUGCCAUGUGGGUGCUGGGAAUUGAACCAGGGUCCUCUGGAAGAGAAGUCCGUGCUCUUAACCACUGAGCCAUCUCUCCAGCCUCCGAGACUCUUGUUUAGGAAAAAAAAAUUCCAUAUGGAUCAUUCCUUGACUCCUUAACACCAAUGACAAAUCCAAUGACUGUGUCACUUUCUUUCUUUCCUUUUUAAAGCAGGUCUAGAAUUGAACCUUGAGCAUCAUGCACGUGAGGCAAGCACUCACUGAUGGGCUUCUGGAAUCAGACUCAGGUCACCAAGCCUGGACCACUGAAUCCUUCUGAACAUGGCUCUCUACAGCAUUCCAUUGUAAAGCAUUUGCCACUGAACACACCGCAUUCUGUGUUUAUUUCCUCUACGACCUACUUCCUCUUCUGUUCAUGUACUGAAAAUAUUCACAGGCCUGAACUGUCCUCAGCCUUCUCUUUGCCCUGGAUACCUUUACACAGCUGACCUCCGAUGCUGCAGAGGCCUAAAGACAAAUGUGCCAGAACUCCCAGGUCCCUGGCCCCAUCUCUGCCGUAUCCAGACUUGUAGAUCCAGCUCCCAACUAGCCAACAGGAAGACUGAGCAAAUCGAGGGAGGAUGUGUGCCCUAGAGCACCAGGAAGGACAUGUAGAAGCCUUGUAAAGAAGUGUGCCACAGAGCACCAGGAAGUGUGUGGAGAGGCCCAGGGAAGAAGUGUGCCACAGAGCACCAGGAAAGAUGUGGACGAGACUAUGGAGGAAGAAAACAGAGGACCAAUUCCCCACCCAGGCUGCAUCUACUGGCAUCUUCAAGAGCUGCCUGUUGCAGGGUCUUAGGAACAAGGUUGAGGACAGACUGCAUGUUAGUGCACUUCUGCCCUACAGGUCAGAUGAAGGGUCCCUGUGUUCUUUACCCACAGACACCCAUACCACACCUUCUGUGAUGAGGACAGAGGUACAGACAAAGGUAUAGGGACAAAGACAGAGACAAAGAAAAGGACACAAAGUAGAUGUCUAUCUGUUCUCUCACUGCCUUAUUUAUGGUUCUACUGCUGUGAGGAGACAUCAUGACCAAGGCAGCUUAUUAAAGGAAGCAUUGAAUGGAGGGCUUUCAGGAGCUUCAGUGGGUGAGUCCUCGCUCUUCAUGGUGAGGAGCUUGUGGGCAGGCAGGCAUGGUGCUGGGACAAUAACUGAGAGCUUACAUCUGACCCACAAUCAGCUAACAGAGAGCGAGAGACUGGACCUGGUGUGGGCUUUGAAACCUCAAAGUUCACCCCCAGUGACAUACCUCUUCCAACAAGGCCUGUGUUGGAAAUGUUUAUACCAACUUGACACAAGCUAGGGUCAUCGGAGAGGAGGGAACCUCAAUUGAGAAAAAGCCUCCAUAAGAUCACUGUAGACAAGCCAGGAGGGCAUUUUCUUAAUUAGUGAUUGAUAGGUGAGGGCCAAGCCCAUUGUGGGUGGGGCCACUCCUGGGCUGUUUUAUAAGAAAGCAGGCUGAGCACGCCAUGGGGAGCAAGCCAGUAAGCAGCACCCUUCAUGGCCUCUGCAUCAGCUCCUGUCUCCAGGUUCCUGCCCUGUUUAAGUUCCUGUUCCUGUUCAAUGAUGAGCAGUGAUGUGGAAAUGUAAGCCAAAUAAACCCUUUCCUCCCCAA